CAUGGAGGGUGAGAAUCCCGUCCGGCUGACCUUCAGGACGUUUUACGAUACGCUCUCAAAGAGUCGAGUUGUUUGGGAUUGCAGCUCAAAAUGGGAGGUAAAUUUCUCCUAAGGCUAAAUACCGGCGAGAGACCGAUAGCGAACAAGUACCGUGAGGGAAAGAUGAAAAGAAUUUUGAAAAGAAAGUCAAACAGUACGUGAAAUUGUUGAAAGGGAAACGAUUGAAGCCAGUCGUACCGACGGGAAUUCAACUUCUCGAGUGCUAAUCGUGGGUGACGUUGAGCUUCACGGCCUUCGUUGCUUGUGUUGUUGGUGCUUUUGGGGUGUACUUUUUCGUAUUGGUAGGUCAGCAUCGAUUUCGAUCGUCAUAAAAUGAUCGGGGGAAUGUAGCUUCGGUCUCGUAUCGGAGUGUUAUAGACCUUGGUAGAUGUGACGAUUGGGAUCGAGGAUUGCAACGAAUACCCUCUGGGCUAUCCGUCUGACCUCUGAAAGUCGCUCGGGUGUCGAAAGCUUGCUUAUGGUUAUUCGAGUUGGCGGUCAAUAGGUUAGAACGUGAUUACAUUCGUUAAGGAUGUUGACGUAAUGG
rnacentral:rRNA from 1 species